rnacentral:rRNA from 1 species
UUUUACACGACCGUACCGCAAACCGACACUGGUGCGCGAGAUGAGUAUUCUCAGGCGCUUGAGAGAACUCGGGAGAAGGAACUCGGCAAAUUGACACCGUAACUUCGGAAGAAGGUGUGCCUUUAGUAGGUGAAGUCCCUCGCGGAUGGAGCCCAAUGAGGUUGCAAAGAAUCGGUGGCUGCGACUGUUUAAUAAAAACACAGCACUCUGCAAACACGAAAGUGGACGUAUAGGGUGUGACGCCUGCCCGGUGCUGGAAGAUUAAGUGAUGGGGUGCAAGCUCUUGAUCGAAGUCCCAGUAAACGGCGGCCGUAACAAUAACGGUCCUAAGGUAGCGAAAUUCCUUGUCGGGUAAGUUCCGACCUGCACGAAUGGCGUAACGAUGGCCACACUGUCUCCUCCCGAGACUCAGCGAAGUUGAAAUGUUUGUGAUGAUGCAAUCUCCCCGCGGAAAGACGGAAAGACCCCAUGAACCUUUACUGUAGCUUUGUAUUGGACUUUGAACGGAUCUGUGUAGGAUAGGUGGGAGGCUUUGAAGCCGGGUCGCUAGAUCUGGUGGGGCCAACGUUGAAAUACCACCCUGGUGCGUUUGAGGUUCUAACCUAGGCCCGUUAUCCGGGCCGGGGACAGUGCAUGGUAGGCAGUUUGACUGGGGCGGUCUCCUCCCAAAGCGUAACGGAGGAGUUCGAAGGUACGCUAGUUACGGUCGGACAUCGUGACGAUAGUGCAAUGGCAUAAGCGUGCUUAACUGCGAGACUGACAAGUCGAGCAGAUGCGAAAGCAGGACAUAGUGAUCCGGUGGUUCUGUAUGGAAGGGCCAUCGCUCAACGGAUAAAAGGUACUCUGGGGAUAACAGGCUGAUACCGCCCAAGAGUUCAUAUCGACGGCGGUGUUUGGCACCUCGAUGUCGGCUCAUCUCAUCCUGGGGCUGUAGCCGGUCCCAAGGGUAUGGCUGUUCGCCAUUUAAAGAGGUACGUGAGCUGGGUUUAAAACGUCGUGAGACAGUUUGGUCCCUAUCUUCCGUGGGCGCUGCAGAUUUGAGGAAGCCUGCUCCUAGUACGAGAGGACCGGAGUGGACGCACCUCUGGUGUACCUGUUGUCACGCCAGUGGCAUUGCAGGGUAGCUAAGUGCGGAAGAGAUAACCGCUGAAAGCAUCUAAGCGGGAAACUCGUUUCAAGAUGAGAUCUGCCGGGGCCUUGAGCCCCCUGAAGAGUCGUUCUAGACCAGGACGUUGAUAGGUCAGGUGUGGAAGCGCAGUAAUGCGUUAAGCUAACUGAUACUAAUUGCUCGUGCGGCUUGACC